rnacentral:sRNA from 1 species
AAACAACAAUAGAACCGGAGUUUAGAGUUCUAUAAAAAGGAAUACCCAAACAUCUCUGGUCUAGUGGUGGGAGAACCUUUGGUUUAUGGUAAAAUUCUUAGACCCGAAUUCGAUCCUCUUUAAAAACAAAAAUCACAUUUGUCUAAAAAGUCUAGUCGAAACUGUAGGCGGUCUAACUAUCCAGUAGCAUUAACUGAAAAUUAUUACAAAUUCGAAAUAGACAGAAUAGUGGUCUUUCGUGGAGAAGUCCAAUCUGAAGCACUUUGGUGCGUUUAUACCGGAACUUGCCGGAUUAACCGAUAUGGUUUAUCAAAAAAAA